rnacentral:lncRNA from 1 species
GGAAGUAGAACAGUUGAAAAAAUGGGCUCCAUUAACACAAUCUUAAAUAAUCAAGUAAAUCACUUAAACAUUUUCUUAAAUAUUUUCUAUAACUAUUGUAAAUUUCCAGUAUUUGAUGUUCUUUGCAGAGGUCCAACUAUUGAAAUCAAUAUGUUUUAGGAUCAUCUGGGCCCCAAGUUAAAAACACUUCAUAGUUGAAAGUUUUUCAGUUGAGCAAUGUAGUAUGAAACAUGAAGCAGGAAAACCCUGAAAGCAGCUGAAGGAGAAGUAAAAAAUAAAUACGUGAACAUGCUCCCACUUGAUUUCAAAACUGCAGCGCUUUUGAAAUCGUAAUUCUUUUGUAGGUCCUGACUUUUGUGUUCCGAACACUUGGGAUUGGCCAUGCUUCAACAAGCAGAUUCAUGUGAGUUUUUGCAAUCAGGAGAAAAAAAAAAAGCAUUCAAGAAAAGGAACACUGCACCUUACGUACAGAGUCUACUUAUCAACAGUUAAAUCACCUUGCAGAGUGAGGCUCCUGGUUUAUGUGCUGUGCAACGUGGGGGCGGGACCCACGAGUUUAAAAGCAGAGGCAAGGAUGCAAAACAUUUCUAUUGCAAUGAAAGAUGGAGUUGAUGAGUACCUUGCAAGACUGGGCCACCACUACUUCAAGGAUGAUCCCACAUUCUGGGGACCUCAGGAAAUGCACCAAUGCAGUCUACUCAGUGACUUGCUAAAUAAAUAAGUGCUAAAUCACAUCAACCUCUGCAAGAAGUCAGGAAAAAAUGGAAAAUGUGUCGCUGCUGUCAUCCCAAGUUUUGUUUGCAUUUAUUUACAUUAAAGCUCUUGUUUCUGUAGGACUUUUGAGGCUGAUUUUGUUCUUGUCUCUUCUGGGUUUCAAGAAUAUAUUGUAAGCACUACGUCAAGUCUCAGUGUUGCUUGUAUUACAUCUACAUACUGCAAAAUCAUGUGGUCUGAAUUAUGCUCCUAGGAAAGCAUAUUAGCA